rnacentral:rRNA from 1 species
UACGGAGGGUGCAAGCGUUAUCCGGAUUCACUGGGUUUAAAGGGUGCGUAGGCGGGUUGGUAAGUCCGUGGUGAAAUCCCCAAGCUUAACUUGGGAACUGCCGUGGAUACUAUCAAUCUUGAAUAUCGUGGAGGUAAGCGGAAUAUGUCAUGUAGCGGUGAAAUGCUUAGAUAUGACAUAGAACACCAAUUGCGUAGGCAGCUUACUACACGAUCAUUGACGCUGAGGCACGAAAGCGUGGGGAG